GGAUGUGAGGGUGAUCUGGCUGCGACAUCUGUCACUCCAUUGAUCGCCAGGGUUGAUUCGGCUGAUCUGGCUGGCUAGGCAGGUGUCCCUGUCCUCCCUCACUGCUCCAUGUGCGUCCCUCCCGAAGCUUCGCGCUCCAUCGAAGAGGUCGACCUUCCCCGAAUAGAGACGGACCCAUCUUCGGUCAAGGGUAUACGAGUAGCUGCGCUGCCCUGCUAGAACCUCCAAACAAGCUCUCACGAAUGUAAAAGAAUAGCAUAGGUUGGGGCUUCAGUCAUUAAUAAGGGUUUCACAGAAAAGAUUUUUUUUUUUCUUU
ensembl:misc_RNA 7SK 7SK RNA